rnacentral:rRNA from 1 species
CCUACGGGAGGCAGCAGUGGGGAAUAUUGGGCAAUGGAGGCAACUCUGACCCAGCAACGCCGCGUGAAUGAUGAAGGUCUUCGGAUUGUAAAGUUCUGUGAUGGGGGAUGAACACAAUGACGGUACCCCAAUAGCAAGCCACGGCUAACUACGUGCAAGCAGCCGCGGUAAUACGUAGGUGGCAAGCGUUAUCCGGAAUGACUGGGCGUAAAGGGUGAGUAGGUGGUUUAGUAAGUUGGCGGUGUAAUUCCGGGGCUCAACCUCGGCGCUACCGCCAAAACUAUUAGACUAGAGUGCAGGAGGAGUAAGUGGAAUUCCUAGUGUAGCGGUGGAAUGCGUAGAGAUUAGGAGGAACAUCAGGGGCGAAGGCGACUUACUGGACUGUAACUGACACUGAGGCACGAAAGCGUGGGGAGCAAACAGGAUUAGAUACCCCAGUAGUC